rnacentral:rRNA from 1 species
UUAAGCGACUAAGCGUACACGGUGGAUGCCCUGGCAGUCAGAGGCGAUGAAGGACGUGCUAAUCUGCGAUAAGCGUCGGUAAGGUGAUAUGAACCGUUAUAACCGGCGAUUUCCGAAUGGGGAAACCCAGUGUGUUUCGACACACUAUCAUUAACUGAAUCCAUAGGUUAAUGAGGCGAACCGGGGGAACUGAAACAUCUAAGUACCCCGAGGAAAAGAAAUCAACCGAGAUUCCCCCAGUAGCGGCGAGCGAACGGGGAGGAGCCCAGAGCCUGAAUCAGUGUGUGUGUUAGUGGAAGCGUCUGGAAAGGCGCGCGAUACAGGGUGACAGCCCCGUACACAAAAAUGCACAUACUGUGAGCUCGAUGAGUAGGGCGGGACACGUGGUAUCCUGUCUGAAUAUGGGGGGACCAUCCUCCAAGGCUAAAUACUCCUGACUGACCGAUAGUGAACCAGUACCGUGAGGGAAAGGCGAAAAGAACCCCGGCGAGGGGAGUGAAAAAGAACCUGAAACCGUGUACGUACAAGCAGUGGGAGCCUCUUAAUGGGGUGACUGCGUACCUUUUGUAUAAUGGGUCAGCGACUUAUAUUCUGUAGCAAGGUUAACCGAAUAGGGGAGCCGAAGGGAAACCGAGUCUUAACUGGGCGUUAAGUUGCAGGGUAUAGACCCGAAACCCGGUGAUCUAGCCAUGGGCAGGUUGAAGGUUGGGUAACACUAACUGGAGGACCGAACCGACUAAUGUUGAAAAAUUAGCGGAUGACUUGUGGCUGGGGGUGAAAGGCCAAUCAAACCGGGAGAUAGCUGGUUCUCCCCGAAAGCUAUUUAGGUAGCGCCUCGUGAAUUCAUCUCCGGGGGUAGAGCACUGUUUCGGCAAGGGGGUCAUCCCGACUUACCAACCCGAUGCAAACUGCGAAUACCGGAGAAUGUUAUCACGGGAGACACACGGCGGGUGCUAACGUCCGUCGUGAAGAGGGAAACAACCCAGACCGCCAGCUAAGGUCCCAAAGUCAUGGUUAAGUGGGAAACGAUGUGGGAAGGCCCAGACAGCCAGGAUGUUGGCUUAGAAGCAGCCAUCAUUUAAAGAAAGCGUAAUAGCUCACUGGUCGAGUCGGCCUGCGCGGAAGAUGUAACGGGGCUAAACCAUGCACCGAAGCUGCGGCAGCGACGCUUAUGCGUUGUUGGGUAGGGGAGCGUUCUGUAAGCCUGUGAAGGUGGCCUGUGAGGGUUGCUGGAGGUAUCAGAAGUGCGAAUGCUGACAUAAGUAACGAUAAAGCGGGUGAAAAGCCCGCUCGCCGGAAGACCAAGGGUUCCUGUCCAACGUUAAUCGGGGCAGGGUGAGUCGACCCCUAAGGCGAGGCCGAAAGGCGUAGUCGAUGGGAAACAGGUUAAUAUUCCUGUACUUGGUGUUACUGCGAAGGGGGGACGGAGAAGGCUAUGUUGGCCGGGCGACGGUUGUCCCGGUUUAAGCGUGUAGGCUGGUUUUCCAGGCAAAUCCGGAAAAUCAAGGCUGAGGCGUGAUGACGAGGCACUACGGUGCUGAAGCAACAAAUGCCCUGCUUCCAGGAAAAGCCUCUAAGCAUCAGGUAACAUCAAAUCGUACCCCAAACCGACACAGGUGGUCAGGUAGAGAAUACCAAGGCGCUUGAGAGAACUCGGGUGAAGGAACUAGGCAAAAUGGUGCCGUAACUUCGGGAGAAGGCACGCUGAUAUGUAGGUGAAGCGACUUGCUCGUGGAGCUGAAAUCAGUCGAAGAUACCAGCUGGCUGCAACUGUUUAUUAAAAACACAGCACUGUGCAAACACGAAAGUGGACGUAUACGGUGUGACGCCUGCCCGGUGCCGGAAGGUUAAUUGAUGGGGUUAGCGGUAACGCGAAGCUCUUGAUCGAAGCCCCGGUAAACGGCGGCCGUAACUAUAACGGUCCUAAGGUAGCGAAAUUCCUUGUCGGGUAAGUUCCGACCUGCACGAAUGGCGUAAUGAUGGCCAGGCUGUCUCCACCCGAGACUCAGUGAAAUUGAACUCGCUGUGAAGAUGCAGUGUACCCGCGGCAAGACGGAAAGACCCCGUGAACCUUUACUAUAGCUUGACACUGAACAUUGAGCCUUGAUGUGUAGGAUAGGUGGGAGGCUUUGAAGUGUGGACGCCAGUCUGCAUGGAGCCGACCUUGAAAUACCACCCUUUAAUGUUUGAUGUUCUAACGUGGGCCCCUUACCGGGGUUGCGGACAGUGUCUGGUGGGUAGUUUGACUGGGGCGGUCUCCUCCUAAAGAGUAACGGAGGAGCACGAAGGUUGGCUAAUCCUGGUCGGACAUCAGGAGGUUAGUGCAAUGGCAUAAGCCAGCUUGACUGCGAGCGUGACGGCGCGAGCAGGUGCGAAAGCAGGUCAUAGUGAUCCGGUGGUUCUGAAUGGAAGGGCCAUCGCUCAACGGAUAAAAGGUACUCCGGGGAUAACAGGCUGAUACCGCCCAAGAGUUCAUAUCGACGGCGGUGUUUGGCACCUCGAUGUCGGCUCAUCACAUCCUGGGGCUGAAGUAGGUCCCAAGGGUAUGGCUGUUCGCCAUUUAAAGUGGUACGCGAGCUGGGUUUAGAACGUCGUGAGACAGUUCGGUCCCUAUCUGCCGUGGGCGCUGGAGAACUGAGGGGGGCUGCUCCUAGUACGAGAGGACCGGAGUGGACGCAUCACUGGUGUUCGGGUUGUCAUGCCAAUGGCACUGCCCGGUAGCUAAAUGCGGAAGAGAUAAGUGCUGAAAGCAUCUAAGCACGAAACUUGCCCCGAGAUGAGUUCUCCCUGACUCCUUGAGAGUCCUGAAGGAACGUUGAAGACGACGACGUUGAUAGGCCGGGUGUGUAAGCGCAGCGAUGCGUUGAGCUAACCGGUACUAAUGAACCGUGAGGCUUAACCUU